rnacentral:rRNA from 1 species
ACAAGCCCUGGAAACGGGGUCUAAUACCGGAUACGACCACCGACCGCAUGGUCUGGUGGUGGAAAGCUCCGGCGGUGCAGGAUGAGCCCGCGGCCUAUCAGCUUGUUGGUGGGGUGAUGGCCUACCAAGGCGACGACGGGUAGCCGGCCUGAGAGGGCGACCGGCCACACUGGGACUGAGACACGGCCCAGACUCCUACGGGAGGCAGCAGUGGGGAAUAUUGCACAAUGGGCGAAAGCCUGAUGCAGCGACGCCGCGUGAGGGAUGACGGCCUUCGGGUUGUAAACCUCUUUCAGCAGGGAAGAAGCGAAAGUGACGGUACCUGCAGAAGAAGCACCGGCUAACUACGUGCCAGCAGCCGCGGUAAUACGUAGGGUGCGAGCGUUGUCCGGAAUUAUUGGGCGUAAAGAGCUCGUAGGCGGCUUGUCACGUCGGAUGUGAAAGCCCGGGGCUUAACCCCGGGUCUGCAUUCGAUACGGGCAGGCUAGAGUUCGGUAGGGGAGAUCGGAAUUCCUGGUGUAAC